GGAGAGAUGGCCGAGUCGGCUGAAGGCGCUCGCCUGCUAAGCGAGUGCAUGGCGAAAGCUGUGCCGAGGGUUCGAAUCCCUCUCUCUCCGCCA
rnacentral:tRNA from 1 species